GGGGGUGAACGGUUUCGACUCUGGACGUCGAGUCAGGGGAAGCGUGCAGGUGCAGGCGAGAUGACCACCUCAAGCGUCGCUCGCAAAACAAUAAGCGCCAAGACUAACAGUCGCGCUGACUUCGCCCUCGCUGCCUAAGCGAGCGCAAGUCUGUCGGCCCGGGGACGCCUCCGCCCCGGUAGCCGGCAUCAGCUAGGAGGCUCACCGCCCGCCCCGGUCACGGGGGCGAAGCGGGAAACCCACAGUGGCUGGGCCCGUCACACCGGCUUGUUCGCGUGACCGGUGGGGCCGAGUAGAGACAUCGCGAACUGCGCACGGAGAAGUCCUGAUGAAGCGACAGAGGACCCGGGUUCGAUUCCCGGCACCUCCACGA
rnacentral:tmRNA from 1 species